GUGGGGAAUAUUGCGCAAUGGGGGGAACCCUGACGCAGCAACGCCGCGUGCAGGAAGAAGGUCUUCGGAUUGUAAACUGUUGUCGCGAGGGAAGAAAAGAAUGACGGUACCUCGUGAGAAAGUCACGGCUAACUACGUGCCAGCAGCCGCGGUAAUACGUAGGUGACAAGCGUUGUCCGGAUUUACUGGGUGUAAAGGGCGCGUAGGCGGGACAGCAAGUCAGAAGUGAAAUACCGGAGCUCAACUUCGGGGCUGCUUUUGAAACUGUUGUUCUUGAGUAUCGGAGAGGAAAGCGGAAUUCCCAGUGUAGCGGUGAAAUGCGUAGAUAUUGGGAGGAACACCGGUGGCGAAGGCGGCUUUCUGGACGACAACUGACGCUGAGGCGCGAAAGUGUGGGGAGCAAACAGG
rnacentral:rRNA from 1 species